rnacentral:rRNA from 1 species
GAUGAACGCUGGCGGCGUGCCUAAUACAUGCAAGUCGAGCGAACAGAUGAGGAGCUUGCUCCUCUGACGUUAGCGGCGGACGGGUGAGUAACACGUGGAUAACCUACCUAUAAGACUGGGAUAACUUCGGGAAACCGGAGCUAAUACCGGAUAAUAUAUUGAACCGCAUGGUUCAAUAGUGAAAGACGGUUUUGCUGUCACUUAUAGAUGGAUCCGCGCCGCAUUAGCUAGUUGGUAAGGUAACGGCUUACCAAGGCAACGAUGCGUAGCCGACCUGAGAGCGUGAUCGGCCACACUGGAAGUGAGACACGGUACAGACUCCUACGGGAGGCAGCAGUAGGGAAUCUUCCGCAAUGGGCGAAAGCCUGACGGAGCAACGCCGCGUGAGUGAUGAAGGUCUUCGGAUCGUAAAACUCUGUUAUUAGGGAAGAACAAAUGUGUAAGUAACUAUGCACGUCUUGACGGUACCUAAUCAGAAAGCCACGGCUAACUACGUG